AUUGAACGCUGGCGGCAUGCCUAACACAUGCAAGUCGAACGGCAGCACGGGAGCUUGCUCCUGGUGGCGAGUGGCGGACGGGUGAGUAAUGCAUAGGAAUCUGCCCAGUAGCGGGGGACAACUUGGGGAAACUCAAGCUAAUACCGCAUGCGCCCCUACGGGGGGAAANCGGGGGGACCUUCGGGCCUCGCACUAUUGGAUGAGCCUACGUCAGAUUAGCUUGUUGGUGGGGUAACGGCCUACCAAGGCGACGAUCUGUAGCUGGUCUGAGAGGACGAUCAGCCACACUGGGACUGAGACACGGCCCAGACUCCUACGGGAGGCAGCAGUGGGGAAUAUUGCACAAUGGGCGAAAGCCUGAUGCAGCAAUGCCGCGUGUGUGAAGAAGGCCUGCGGGUUGUAAGCACUUUCAGUGGAGGAAAGCUAGUAGUUAUACCUGCUAGCCCUGACGUUACCUAUAGAAGAAGCACCGGCUAACUCCGUG
rnacentral:rRNA from 1 species